rnacentral:rRNA from 1 species
UACAGAGGUCUCAAGCGUUUGUUCGGAUUCAUUGGGCGUAAAGGGUGCGUAGGCGGCGCGGUAAGUCGGGUGUGAAAUCUUGGAGCUUAACUCCGAAACUGCAUUCGAUACUGCCGUGCUUGAGGACUGGAGAGGAGACUGGAAUUUACGGUGUAGCGGUGAAAUGCGUAGAUAUCGUAAGGAAGACCAGUGGCGAAGGCGGGUCUCUGGACAGUUCCUGACGCUGAGGCACGAAGGUCAGGGGGAGCAAACGGG